rnacentral:rRNA from 1 species
GGAGGGUGCAAGCGUUGUUCGGAUUUACUGGGCGUAAAGAGUGUUUAGGCGGGUUUGUAAGUCAGGUGUGAAAGCCCCCGGCUCAACCGGGGAGGGUCGCUUGAUACUGCAAAUCUUGAGUAACGGAAAGGUAGGCGGAAUUCCUAGUGUAGAGGUGAAAUUCGUAGAUAUUAGGAGGAACAUCAAUGGCGAAGGCAGCUUACUGGCCGAUUACUGACGCUCACACACGAAAGCAUGGGUAGCAAACAGGAUUAGAUACCCUGGUAGUCCAUGCCGUAAACGAUGGAUACUAGGCGUUGGAGGAAUUGAUCCCUUCAGUGUCGUAGCUAACGUGUUAAGUAUCCCGCCUGGGAAGUACGGCCGCAAGGCUA